GUUGAUAUGUGUAGCAUUAGUAUUAUUGCGACACCUUGACGUUAUGGAAUUUUCCUGAAAUUAAAUAAACGUAUCAUCGGUAAAUGAUUGUUACUACUAAAUAUGUUGCAUUACAAGUUUAAUUUUGAAAUUGAAAACAUUAAACAGCUACAUACGCAUCAGAAUUUGGAGUUGUAUAAAGACGAUGGGACUCGGAUUAAUUCUUAAGGAAAAUUAGAAGUACAUCAUUUUUAUCAGAUAAGUUCUAACAGUGCGGAAGAUUAAACAAUUCUCAGAGCAUGGGUGCAUACAAUACGUCA